rnacentral:lncRNA from 1 species
GCUAAAGUACGAGGAAAAUAAAACUUCGAGACCGUUUUGCUGGAAUAGGAACUGGAAGCAGUGCAGUUAAGUAGACCUUAUAGUAGCUGUUUGCAGCUGAGAACGGUCGUCCUGGCCUGCAGGGGGCAUCCCUAAUUUAUUAAGUCCGUGCGUCUUGUCGAGAGCGCGAAGCUUUGAGCCGUUUGCUUGCAGUAGACUCCGAUUCUUGUUCUGGUUGUAACCUGGAUGGCGCUCUCGCCGUGUGGACGGGGCGGUUACCUUUCCUGUGAUUCCUUACAGGAGAGAAUGGGCGGCCCUGGGGAGCAUGUCCAGGGAGGAUGCCAUGGUGGAGUUCGUCAAGCUGCUCAACAGAUGCUGCCAUCUCUUCUCAACCUACGUCGCGUCCCACAAGAUAGAGAAGGAAGAGCAAGAGAAAAAAAGGAGGGAAGAGGAGGCGCGGCGGCGGCGCGAGGAGGAGGAGCGAGCACGGCUGCAGAAGGAGGAGGAGAGGCGGCGGAGAGAAGAGGAGGAGCGGCUGCGGCGCGAGGAGGAGGAGCGGCGGCGCCUGGAGGAGGAGCGGCUUCGCUUGGAGCAGCAGAAGCAGCAGAUAAUGGCGGCGCUGAACUCGCAGACGGCGGUGCAGUUCCAGCAGUACGCGGCCCAGCAGUACCCCGGGAACUACGAGCAGCAGCAGACGCUCAUCCGCCAGCUGCAGGAGCAGCACUACCAGCAGUACAUGCAGCAGCUCUACCAGGUCCAGCUGGCACAGCAGCAGGUACGCUGCGACCCGGAGUCCUGCCUGAGGGUUCUCCUUUCAUGGAACCCAAGUGCUUUUUUCACAGGUGCAGUAAAUGUUGCGUUAGCCUCAAGGUGUGAGGUAGCUUUCAGGUGGCUUUUAUGAAGGGCCGACGAGCACUGCACUGGCCCAUCAUGAAAGGAAAGCAGCGGGGUUGAGGCAGCAACGCUGUGGGGUUUGAGCCUGCAGUGGCGGGUCCUGGACCAGCGGGCCUGGUCCCCCGCGCGGGCCGGCCCCUUCUGCAGGCAGCGCGCUGUCGGCCCCUCCUCCGUGGGGAGCCCCCACCCCACCCCAGGCUGAGGUUGGCUCUUCAGCGCUAGGCUGGGUCCACGGGCCUCGUGGUGGGUGGCAGCUCUCCCGCCAGGCCCGGCAGCCCCGUGCCUUCUCGAGCAGGGCCGGCAGCCCCCCAGCGCCCCAGCUGUCCCGACUGUGCCUCCGACCCUCCAUCCUGUCCUGACUCUGCCCCCGUCGUGUGAGAUUUCGACACGGUGCCUCCUCCUCUGCUUCUCCCAGUUUUAGGAAUGGCUGUAAACCGAGGGCUCUGUCCUGGCUGCCGCGCGGGGCUGGGAGCGGGUUCCCCGAGGGCAGCCCACUGCGCGCGUGUUCUCCCCGUGGGCGGCGCUGACCGCACACUCGCCGCUACAUCCCACGGGGAGCAAAGUGCUUCCUUCAGCCUAACCUGGGCGGUGCUGGCUCCAUUUUCACUGGAAGGUAGUUCGCGCCUCCCAGAAACGGAGUGCAGAGGUGCUGACGCCGGAGCGCUCAGCAUUUCUCCUUAGAUGAAGCAAUCUCUGUCGUUUUUGCCACACCCUUCGAAUUCCACGUGACCCAAUACAUGUCCUUUCCUAACACAUUUUUCCCUGAGUCCGAGGCAUGGUGAGAGGGUGAAAAGCUCUGCAGGUUUUGGUUAAUCCAUGAGAAGACGAAAGGAAUGAACCAGUUUUCGCUCGACGUGGGCAUGGCAUUUUUUGGCGUCUUUCUGCUGUCCAUGGUGUGUGGCUUGGAGGAGCUCUUGCUCUCCCCUCUCGCUCUCCCCUCUGCCUGCCUAGUCAGUGGUCAGGAUGAGAAUCUGAAAGGGGGUAACUGAGAAGAAAGUCAUCAGCAUGGUUCUUGGCAGUCAGCACCAGGCCAGGCCUGCUGGGACCUUGUGCCUCCACAGCGAACGCCCGCACUGGGAGGCAGACCCCCUGGGCGCAGCGGCUCAGCCUCAUUCUGCUUCGGGGUCUCUAAGUGAUCAGACGCCGCAGCUUAGAGGUAGCAGCUGAUUGGCUGCUCUGGGGCGAGCGAUGCCAGGGGCUGGGCAGGCAACACAGAGCUCUCAGCAGCCUUUAGUUAAAUACCCAGCACAGCAAGAAAAUGCGAGUACUUGUUCAUCUGGGCAUGCAGUUACAUGCGUGUUUGUGCAUUGUUCCAUUGGUUCUCUGCAUUUGGAAAACUUCCCACAGUGUAGGAGAGAGAGUAUGGAAAGAAGUGCUGCCCAUGGCUGCGUGGUACAGACGCCGGUCGAGGGCAGCGAGAGCCCGAGGCGUUGCUUGUGCCGUAGUGUCAGGAACCGCUUCCCAGAGAGGGCCGUUUGAACGUGGCAGGACUGUUCCCCUUGCUCGCCCGUCACGCAGCGAACGUCGCGAGGGCCAGGCCUGUUUUGCUUGUGUGUGCUCUUGGAAGACAGUUUUUUCAGUUGUUCUUCUGUUUUGUUUUUAGGAGGUACUGGGGGUUGAACGUGGGACUUGUGCAUGGGAAGCAGGCGCUCAGCAUCUGAGCGCCACCUGUUUCCUGAGGAGGUUUUUUAAGUGUUGUUAUUAGUGACAGAGAGGUGUUCUUGCAGUUCCUUUCAGUAAAUGGUUUGUCCACGAUUCCUUCAUUGAAACAUGCAGGUGUGUGUAGAAAAAGUGGAAAAAAUGGACUGACGCCAGUGGGCGUGUCCUCCGUGGACGGAGUGAUGGGCGCUUUCUCUGUAUUUUCUGUUUUUUCCUACUAUAAUGAACAUAUGCUCUCUCGUGACUUUGUGUUUUAGUUUAAAAAGUUACUUAAAUGCCCAUCAACAGGAGAAUGGAAUACUAAAAUUUAUGUUUUCACGGUAAAAUAUCCUAUAGCAGUGCAGAUGAGUCAACUAAAAUCUCACAGCCUUAUAUAUGAACAUUAAAGUAACGUGCCUGAAGGAAGCCAAACAUAGAAGGAACCACUGGGCGACUCCAUUUACAUAAACUUAAAAACAGGCGCCUCUUACCUGUCCUGCUAGAAGUCAGGGUCAUGCUGUCCUUGGCAGUGGCUCUGCAGCGGGACACGGAGGAUUCUCGGGUGCUGGUAAUUUCGUGACUUGAGUAUUGGUUACACGGAUGUGUCUGAGGUGUGAAAAUUCAAAUUGUACAGUUAUGAUUUGUGCACUUUUCCGUAUGUUUGUUAAAAUUUAGAAGAAAAUCUGGGGGAGCAGAUGUAGUUCAGUGGUUUGAGCGGCUUCUUCAGUGAGAGACACGGCAGAGCAGGAAGCUGAGGUGGCGCAGGUGACUGAGCGCCUCCCUGCCACGUAGGACGUCCCGGGUUCGGUUCCUGGUGCCUCCUAAAGAGGAGAUGAGCAGAUACAGAGAGAGCAGCGAAUGGACACAGAGAGCAGACAGUGCGAGCAAACAGCAGGGGGUAGAGAAAUCUUAAAAAGAAAAAUUCGAUUCAAAAUUCCCCCAGACGUUACUUAGCUAAUAAGUAGGUAUACCCAGUAGUAGUAAUAUCUGUCCAUUUUUAUUCAAGCAGAAAAUGUCCCAAAAUACUUGUCCUUUGGGCACAAAAUGUAUUUAUCCCCAAUUUUGACUCAGGACAUUUUGUUUUCUUGUUUUUGAAUACAGACAUUUUUUAUCAUAAUCAUGUACACAGUGAUGAAUUUUCAUUGAGAAAGUGUUUUGAACUCAAACUCCAUGU